rnacentral:misc_RNA from 1 species
UCCGUAGGUGAACCUGCGGAAGGAUCAUUAAAAAAAAAUUUAAUGAAUGUCGGGGGGUUUUUUCUGCCUCCCGAGUAUUCAACCAACCCCGCUCGUGUAUUUGUACCAAACAAACAAAAUUUUUUAAAAUUAAUAAAAUAAUUAAUAAAAAAAAAACUUUCAACAACGGAUCUCUUGGCUCUCGCAUCGAUGAAGAACGCAGCGAAAUGCGAUAAGUAGUGUGAAUUGCAGAACUUUGUGAACCAUCGAAUCUUUGAACGCAAAUUGCGCCUUUUUCGGAAGGCAUGUCUGUUUGAGGGCACCAUUUAACAAAUAAUGUGCACCGUUUUAUGUGUGCACACGUUGAUGAGCUUUCCAAGAAAAAAUUUUUUUUUUUUUUUUGGUGGCGCAUAAUGAACAGCGCGAAAGCCUUUUUUUUCAGUUCGAGUGUAGUAAAAUCUUUGCUUGGGUUGUGAAAAGCAAGUAGCGCAAUGGGUGUGGCAAUUUUGUAAUCCCCUGCCCCAAUGCCACUCUUUCUCGCGAAAGAAUGUUAUAAUCUUCAGGGCCUCAAAUCAGACAAGAGUACCCGCUGAACUUAAGCAUAUCAAUAAGCGGAGGAAAAGAAACUAACAAGGAUUCCCCUAGUAACGGCGAGUGAAGCGGGAACAGCUCAAAUUUUAAAUCUGGCUGCUUCGCAGUCCGAGUUGUAAUUUGAAGGCGUCUGUCGCAUGUGAGACGAUGGCACAAGUCCUCUGGAACGUGGCAUCGUAGAGGGUGAGAAUCCCGUCUCUGGUCGUUGUCUUGCAGGCACACGGCAGGCGAUCCGAAGAGUCGAGUUGGUUGGGAUUGCAGCUCCAAAUGGGUGGUAAACUCCAUCUAAGGCUAAAUAUUGGCGAGAGACCGAUAGCGAACAAGUACCGUGAGGGAAAGAUGAAAAGAACUUUGAAAAGAGAGUAAAACAGUACGUGAAAUUGUUGAAAGGGAAACGCUUGAAGU